AGCGGCGGACGGGUGAGUAACACGUGGGUAACCUGCCUGUAAGACUGGGAUAACUCCGGGAAACCGGGGCUAAUACCGGAUGCUUGAUUGAACCGCAUGGUUCAAUCAUAAAAGGUGGCUUUUAGCUACCACUUACAGAUGGACCCGCGGCGCAUUAGCUAGUUGGUGAGGUAACGGCUCACCAAGGCGACGAUGCGUAGCCGACCUGAGAGGGUGAUCGGCCACACUGGGACUGAGACACGGCCCAGACUCCUACGGGAGGCAGCAGUAGGGAAUCUUCCGCAAUGGACGAAAGUCUGACGGAGCAACGCCGCGUGAGUGAUGAAGGUUUUCGGAUCGUAAAACUCCGUUGUUAGGGAAGAACAAGUACCGUUCGAAUAGGGCGGCACCUUGACGGUACCUAACCAGAAAGCCACGGCUAACUACGUGCCAGCAGCCGCGGUAAUACGUAGGUGGCAAGCGUUGUCCGGAAUUAUUGGGCGUAAAACGCGCGCAGGCGGUUUCUUAAGUCUGAUGUGAAAGCCCCCGGCUCAACCGGGGAGGGUCAUUGGAAACUGGGGAACUUGAGUGCAGAAGAGGAGAGUGGAAUUCCACGUGUAGCUGUGAAAUGCGUAGAGAUGUGGAGGUACACCAGUGGCGAAGGCGAC
rnacentral:rRNA from 1 species